rnacentral:rRNA from 1 species
GAUGAACGCUGGCGGCGUGCCUAAUACAUGCAAGUCGAGCGAAUGGAUUAAGAGCUUGCUCUUAUGAAGUUAGCGGCGGACGGGUGAGUAACACGUGGGUAACCUGCCCAUAAGACUGGGAUAACUCCGGGCAACCGGGGCUAAUACCGGAUAAUAUUUUGAACUGCAUGGUUCAAAAUUGAAAGGCGGCUUCGGCUGUCACUUAUGGAUGGACCCGGGUCGCAUUAGCUAGUUGGUGAGGUAACGGCUAACCAAGGCAACGAUGCGUAGCUGACCUGAGAGGGUGAUCGGCCACACUGGGACUGAGACACGGCCCAGACUCCUACGGGAGGCAGCAGUAGGGAAUCUUCCGCAAUGGACGAAAGUCUGACGGAGCAACGCCGCGUGAGUGAUGAAGGCUUUCGGGUCGUAAAACUCUGUUGUUAGGGAAGAACAAGUGCUAGUUGAAUAAGCUGGCACCUUGACGGUACCUAACCAGAAAGCCACGGCUAACUACGUGCCAGCCGCCGCGGUAA